GACGAACGCUGGCGGCGUGCCUAAUACAUGCAAGUAGAACGCUGAAGGAGGAGCUUGCUUCUCUGGAUGAGUUGCGAACGGGUGAGUAACGCGUAGGUAACCUGCCUGGUAGCGGGGGAUAACUAUUGGAAACGAUAGCUAAUACCGCAUAAUAGUAGAUGUUGCAUGACAUUUGCUUAAAAGGUGCAAUUGCAUCACUACCAGAUGGACCUGCGUUGUAUUAGCUAGUUGGUGGGGUAACGGCUCACCAAGGCGACGGUACAUAGCCGACCUGAGAGGGGUAUCGGCCACCCUGGGACUGAGGCACGGCCCAGACUCCUUCGGGAGGCAGCAGUAGGGAAUCUUCGGCAAUGGACGGAAGUCUGACCGAGCAACGCCGCGUGAGUGAAGAAGGGUUUCGGAUCGUAAAGCUCUGUUGUAAGAGAAGAACGAGUGUGAGAGUGGAAAGUUCACACUGUGACGGUAUCUUACCAGAAAGGGACGGCUAACUACGUG
rnacentral:rRNA from 1 species